rnacentral:rRNA from 1 species
AACGAACGCUGGCGGCAUGCCUAACACAUGCAAGUCGAACGAGAUCUUCGGGUCUAGUGGCGCACGGGUGCGUAACGCGUGGGAAUCUGCCCUUUAGUUCGGAAUAACAGUUGGAAACGACUGCUAAUACCGGAUGAUGACGAAAGUCCAAAGAUUUAUCGCCAGAGGAUGAGCCCGCGUAGGAUUAGCUAGUUGGUGUGGUAAAGGCGCACCAAGGCGACGAUCCUUAGCUGGUCUGAGAGGAUGAUCAGCCACACUGGGACUGAGACACGGCCCAGACUCCUACGGGAGGCAGCAGUGGGGAAUAUUGGACAAUGGGCGAAAGCCUGCUCCAGCAAUGCCGCGUGAGUGAUGAAGGCCUUAGGGUUGUAAAGCUCUUUUACCCGGGAUGAUAAUGACAGUACCGGGAGAAUAAGCUCCGGCUAACUCCGUGCCAGCAGCCGCGGUAA